rnacentral:rRNA from 1 species
CCCUUAGAUGUCCUGGGCCGCACGCGCGUCACACUGAUGCAUUCAACGAGCUUAUAACCUUGGCCGAGAGGCCCGGGCAAUCUUGUUAACGUGCAUCGUGAUAGGGAUAGAUUAUUGAAAUUAUUAAUCUUGAACGAGGAAUUCCUAGUAAACGCAGAUCAUCAAUCUGCAUUGAUUACGUCCCUGCCCUUUGUACACACCGCCCGUCGCACCUACCGAUUGGAUGGUCCGGUGAGGCUUUGGGAUCUGAGCGGAAAGAGCGUUUCGCUGUUUCUGCUCGGAAAACUCAGUCGAACCUUAUCAUUUAGAGGAAGGAGAAGUCGUAACA